CCUGUUAUGUGUGUGUGUGUGUGUGUGUGUGUGUGUGUGUGUGUGCACACAUAAUGAUCAGGCUAAUCAUCGUGAGUGUCUGCAAGCCCUGCAGAUGCUUUGCUGAGCUCUACAUUUAGCUUAUUAGUUUUAGUGAGGUGUCCAGUGUUAGGCCUCACUGCUCCUACCAUCUGAUAAGUGGUGUGUUCCUGCCUCUGUGUGUCCUUACCAUGACUAAAUGCUUUAGCUUCCCUCUGGGGACAAAGGGACAGAAGAGGAACCAGAGAUCUCUGUUUUUAUUAGCUAAACUGCCGAGGGAGGGAGUGAGAGCGACAGGAGUUUGCUAGACAGUGUGUGAUGCUGAGAAAUAGCCUCUAAAUCGCACAAGUGAAAGCUAAAGGAUUAUUUGUGCAGGAUGGUGGCUUCUUUUCUCUGGCGCUCCCCUCUUCUGGUGACCUUUACUGUUUAAUACUCCAUGUUUGGUAAAGGUCAAGCUUGUUGUGGCUCCUCACUGUGGGUUCUGAUGUACAAUUGAAAAUGCGUGGAGAAGCACGGGGAUGUAUAAAUAUUUCCCUGAUUCUGUCACAAACACAGAAAGGCCAAAUAAUCAUGAUGAGAUUUAUGGUUUUCUACAAAUGUAUCUCUGAUUCGCUUCUCUCAAAGGAAUUCUGUUUGUCUAUGUUCUGAAAGCAAUAAAAAGACAAAACAAUUUAUUAUG